AAAUUUAUAGUAAGAGGAAAAUCCGUCGAUCAAAAAUCAUGAGGGUUCAAGUCCCUCUAUCCCCA
rnacentral:tRNA from 4 species